rnacentral:tRNA from 1 species
GGGGUUGUGGGCUCAGUGGUAGAGCGCUCGCCUGGCAUAUGCGAGGUGCUGGGUUCAAUCCUCAGCACCA